UCGGGCCCGACCCGAGCCCAGUCAACGUUUUGACCCGAUCAAAUCGGCCCGUGACCCGAAACGACCCUACUUGGGCCCUACAACAGCCACGUAAAGUUUCGGGAUGAUCCGACGUUCUUUCAUGGGGUUACGGACAAUCCACGCCAAACAAGCGUCACGGGCCGACCGAGCCGGGCCAACGGGCCCUCGGGACCCGAAAACUGAAUUUUUUUCAUCCAAACCCAUUAAAACACGUUACCGAGGUCUCACGCAAAAUUUCAUGCCAAUCCGACGUCGUUUGAUGGGGUUUUGAAAAAUUAUGAUUCCUCAAAAAUUUAAUGUCUGUUCCUGUCACUUAGCUUUUUGUGCAAAAUGUAUAUAUAGGGGAGGGGUGGGUGUUGAGCAGCCCAUGCCCGGGCAAGGCAUGCCAGCGCCCAAGCCAAAGGAGGCUGGUGGCGUGCGUAUAACAGCUCAAAUGCCCCAACGAUGACCGAGAACAAGCGCCCAUCUCCCCUCAUUCCCCCCCCACCAAGCGCCCCUCCCCCCCCAUGUUGCCUGCCCACUCGCACAGCUACUCGUGAUUUCAUGCCCAGCGACUAGUGAAUGUGCCUCGACGACCAGCAAACCUCGAAAAUUAUGAUUCCUCGUAAAAUUAAUGUCUGUUCCUGUCACUUUACUUUUUGUGCAAAAUGUAUAUAUAGGGGAGACCAGGGGCUUGAGCAACCCCUGUGCCCAAGCAAGGGUCAGAUGGAAGCACACGAGACGCGAGGUUUAAAGCCUAUACAAGCAAGGCGUCUGUCUCCCCAAGCCCCAUUGCCUAUAAAACAAGCCCGAUGCCUUGUAAAUGCCCCACACGAUGCCUAUAAAUGACAACGAUGUUUGCUAGUUAAUCGAUCGACGCCCCACACCUUGCAGCAUGUUGCCUAGUAAACAAGCCAUGCUGCCUUGGAAGCGCCCCACAUCAUGGCAUGUUGCCUAGCACGCUGCCCUUGUUUCCCGCACGGCGACCUGAAAGCGUGGCCUGACGACGUGCUUGCCUUCGAAAAUUAUGAUUCCUCAAAAAAUUAAUGUCUGUUCCUGUCACUUUACUUUUUGU
rnacentral:rRNA from 1 species